rnacentral:lncRNA from 1 species
CGGGCCCAAGUCAGACCCGGAGGAGACACGACCCGAAGACGUGGUGGAAGAUGCGGCGGAAGACGCUGUAGCGCCAACGCCGUCAACAUCAACGCCUUCACAGAAGGACGAACUGGAAGAACAGCAGCCAGCCAGAAGUAAGCCCAGUAUAGUCUUACAGCAGGAGCCUCUAGACCCAGAAAGGGUAUUAACAACUAGCUACCCAUCUGAUCCUGCAGUGGUACUAAACUGAUGACAGGAUGCGUGAGUACUUUGCACUAAACUAUCCCUCUCAAAAUAUUGGACAUUCUUCUGCAUCACAGAGGAAAUCUGGAGACAUAAACCGAAGCUUAACCAAGGAACAUUUCUUCAGACGUGUUUCUGCUGUGACUGAGGCCUGUGAUGCUGGAAGGCUGAAGAUUAUCCCGGAGUGGAGCAUGCUAAAUGGUUUCCUUGAUUGUGGACUGGACUGCCAGUCAAUGAACAGAUGCAGGCAGGAGGUGAAUGGGGACAGGGUUUUAUUUAAAGGAAGAAACGUGUGGACCAGGGGAGACAACAGGAGAGAGGAAAAUACCCGACUGGAGCCGGACAGACACCGCGAGCCCCGCAAGAACGGAAGAAGAUUCACCAGCAGCACAGGCAGCAGCAGCGGAGGGAGAUCCGUGGGCAGAGAAGCCAGUGCACGAAGCUCAACACGGCAGGCGGGCAGAGUUACUCUGCCCCCGCAUGUAAGUAAUUGAUCAGUGCCUGGCAGUGUUUGGAGUUUGCUGUUGCUCCAUGCAUGGUCUGAUGCCGGGGACCUUUUAUUGCCAGAGUUUUUGUGUGCCCACAGUGGCUGGGCCGAGGAGGAGGAUUGGAUCCACCGUGCGGCGAUCCUGUGGCUCCCUGAGGACGACGUGCACCGCCGGAGGGCGGGGUCAUAAAGGCCUCCCUGUCAAGAGCUCAUGCAGGGCCAGACUGGACUGCUUUGUCCCCUGAGGCCCAGCACAGACUUAUUUGAGAGAUCAUUUUGGCAUUAUCAUCUGAGUUUUUGGAAUAAAUGUUCUUUAAAUAUGCUUUUGUGGUUGCACUGCUUGCCUUGUUUUAGAACCUUUUCGAUGUUUAAUAUUUUAAUUUUUGUACCUUUUUAUUAGUUUUAUCAGAGAACCACUCUUCUUAAACUUUGGUGGCAUUGUAGAUUUUAAUUUUCCUCGAGGUCCCACUCGUGUCACAUCCGCUCAUCCAGAGUCGAGUCACGUGUGCAGCGGCCUAAGCAGGGAGGGCCAAAGUUCCCUCUCCCCAGCCACUUGGGCCAGCUCCUCCAGGGGAAUUCUAAGACGUUCCCUGACCAGCUGAGAGACAUAGUCACUCCAGCAUGUCCUGGGUCUUCCUUUAGGUCUUCUCCCGCUUAGACGUGCACAGAAAACCUUGAGCAGGGAAGCAUCCAAGAGGCAUCCUAGUCAGAUGCAUGAGCCACCUCAACUGGCUCCUCUCGAUGUGGAGGAGCAGCUGGUGUACUCCGAGCCCCUCCCAGAUGAUCUCUACGGGAGAGCCCAGCCACCCUGGGGAGAAAACUCAUUUCUGCAGCUUGUAACCGUGAUCUCAUUCUUUCGGUCAGUACCCAAAACUCAUGACCAUCAUUGAGGGUUGGAACGUAGAUCAACCGGUAAAUCCAGAACUUUGCUUUCCGGCUCAGUUCUGUCCUCACCAUGACAGACCGGUACAAUGCCCACUUGUCUGCAUGUUAGCAUGUUCUCCCUGAUCAAUCUUGGGCAACUGGUGACAAUAAAUCCUUCCUAGCUUUGAGUGAGUGUGUGGCUCCAGAUGUGAAGCUCUGGUAAUAUGUAUGUCUGGGAUGUCCCCUGUCUUUAGCCAAUGACUAGUGGAGUUAGACGCCAACUCCCUGUGACCCUUACAGAGGAAGAGGACAAAUGUUUCCAAAUGAUGAUAAAACAAUCUGUCCCCAAGUGAAAAUGUCACUUAAUCAAAACAAUCACUUCACUAAAACCUGUCCGACAUGAGGCAGGCUAAAAGAUCUCAAAAAGCAACACGUUGUUCUCAGAAAAAAACAAAAACAACAUCUAAAGCCUGACAGGCCUCACUUGGAAAAGGCAAGGGUCAGAGGUCAUGGAUCAACAAAUUGUGUGGGGGUUAUUGAAAUCAGCACCACUCAGCAUGGCUCCAACUGGAUCAGUGGUCCCAAGCCUUUCCUGUAUUCUGGUACCCUCUCCGAUGUGGUUCCAAAAGUACAUAUUUUUGUUUUAUUGAUGAAUGUGUCUGUGGGUGGAGGAGGGUAGGAUGCAGAGAUUAGAGGACUGUGUAGUGACAGGAAAAGGCUGAGAGAGCUGGCAAAAGCAUACUUUAAUAAAUAAUCCUCUGACACAAAAACUCAGCUUAAAUUCUCCAGAAAAGCAUCUUCAAGGUCCACAGAACUUAAUCCAAAACAUAAUUUACUGUUAUAUCUGAGCUAAAACUCACACAUAACAACACUCAGACACGGUGGUGGUGGUGUCAUGGUCUGGGGCUGCUUUGCUCCUUCAGGCUCCAAGUAACUGAUGAAAAUAAUCCUGGAGUGUUAUAACCAGUUGCAAAGGGUAGGGGACAAUUACCGGUUUACACUGACCCAGGCUGGUUUGGACAGCUCCUUUGUCUCCUAAAAAGAUUAAACUACUUUUUUUUUGCUGAUCUGAAAAAUAGUGUCAUAAUAAAAAUCAGAAGCUGAAGAAAUCCAUCAGGAGGUGAACAUGUCGGUGAGCUCAUGUGCAGAUUCUGAAGGCCGUUUGACUUGGCAGCCGUGUGGAUGAAGGUUUUGCUGAAGGCUAAAAUCUGAACCAAGGUAUGACUGCUGGAGUAGAGAGGAUUCAGAUGAGAGGCAGCAGGUGGUACGAAAAGCAAACAAGACUCAGGGAUGUGGAAGACGAAGCAAAAGACAGAUUUGGAGAUAGAGAGAAGCCUGGCUAUUAGUUUUAUUAGGUUAAUCAGCUGAGUUAGACCCGAGAGAUGGCUGGAGGCAACUGUCGGGGCGACAGCGGCGAUGCUGCUCUCUGUGGACUGCAGCUCCGAGCCAUGAAAGAGGACUUCAAUUGAGUUAUUGGAUGGUGGAGAGAGUUCUUUUAAUUUAAUUCACCUCUAAUAUGAAGCAGUCGGUGCCUCACUCCUUUGUUAAAGAGGCUUCCAUGUGUGUGUGUUUCUCGGUCCUUCUUUAGCAGAGCACUUUUCUAUCCAUCCAUCCAAACAGCCAGGUCCAGAAGUUUCCAUAUUCAUUGUGAAAGAAGAUGCUUGCUUUGUAUGAAAUCCCAACCUCAUUCGCGGUCCAACACCUCUGGGAUGAGCAGGAAUGUCAGCUACAAGCCAAUCCAUACUUCCUAAAGGCAGGACUUAAAAGCCCACAGUGUGACCAAAUGAAAACAAAUCUCUGCAGCUACCGUUAGAGUUGUGAUGGAAACCAGAAGAAGGAAUAUUAAAAGUAGAUUAAAGCCCAGGGGGUGCAGACAAAUGCCCAAAAACUAGAAGGUAAAGAAAAAAACUGCUUUUUACCUCUGCAACCACAUUUCUGCCUCUGUUCAAACAACUUACAGCUCUGCUUCAUCAUACAACUUACAAACACUUGUUUCAUUGGUGAUAUGCAAAAAUAAAUGAGGGUCCGUUUGUCUUGCAUCCUCACAGUCUCUGUUAGAGGAGAUCCAGAUGCCAGGAGGCUGCGUGGUGGUCUGGACCAAGGCUGCAGGUCAUGUUUGGACUGAUGUACAAAAUCCAUUCCGUUGGUCGGUGGUUGGCGUGUGUGUGUGUGUGUGUGUGUGUGUGUGUGUGUGUGUGUGUGUGUGUGUGUGUGUGUGUUUGUGUGUGUGUGUGUGUGUGUGUGUGUGUGUGUGCGUGUGUGUGUUUGUGUGUGUGUGUGUGUGUGUGUGUGUGUGUGUGUGUGUGUGUGUGUGUGUGUGUGUGUGUGUGUGUGUGUUACUGGCAGGAGGGCCGUUCACUGACAGAGGGAUAACAGCGAGCUGGAGUUCAAGCCUCUGUGCUGACAGACAACUUGCCCCUGAGAAACGCACACACACACACACACACACACUAGAAACACACCUUGUCUGACACUGGUGGGUGGGUGUGAUCAUCAUGGUGAUAAUUAGAUAAUAUUUCUGUAAAAAUCAUCCUUAAUUACAGAUAACCCGAGUUAUCUCCAGUUAUUUGUCACUUUGAGUUCAUCUGUGAACAAAACACAUUUGACAGAAAAAGCCUUUUUUUUUCUCCAUAAAAACAAAUCAGAGACCACAAAACAUAUUAAAGGGAGUCUUUUGCUCCCAGCAGACACAAACUCCUGUGAUGUUUACUCCGUUAAUGAGAUGAGUGACAGCUGCCUGGUCUUUCUGGGUGGUCUCCCUGUGGCCAUGGUGUAGGGUGGGGGUUAUUCCUCAUAUAUCUGACCACGUCGUGUGUUUCUAAUCCUUAAGGCACUAAAGUUGAUGUAGAUAUUUUUUGUCUUAUUUGUAGUAGAGAGCUUCCUGAAUAGCUUGAGUUUGGAGAAAUAGAGUUCUUGAGAACUGAUGAGCUAGCAUCGAGCCUCGACCAGCCCAGACCACCAUCUUAAAACAACUUCACCCAUGAUACAAAGGAAACAAGUAUUGCUACUAUAAAUAGAACCCACGCAUCUAUUUUAUUCUGCUUGCCCAAUGUUGGGUUGCUGGGGCAGCGGGUUCAGAAGGAAAGCCUCUCUGCAGCUCCCUCUUUGGACUUGAAAGGUCCCAGACCAGAAAGGAUGUGCAAAAAAAGUAUUUGUCAGCUACUGAUUGUGCAAAAAGUGAAAGAGGUCAGUAAUUUUCAUCAUAUGUACUUGAACUGUGAGAGACAGCAUAUAAAAAAUAAAUCCAGGAAAUCACCUUGUAUGAUUUUUAAAGGUUCCAUAUCAUGCCAUUUUACACCUCUGAGAGCAAAGCUAGGCACAGUAUAUCAGUGGUGGGCAGUCAGGGCCAGCAAAGCCUUCUCUGCUGGCCUAAACAUACUCAAAAGCGUAAGUGUAUUUUUUUUCCUUUGGUAAUUAUUUUUAAAUAAAAAAAAUUGUUUACUAGUCUAUUUUCUUUAUAACCUAUUAUACCCACUUGGCUGUGCUGCUUCCAGUGUUCAAAUACCAAGGUUGGGUGUUAUCCAAUCAGAUUUAAGCUAGCUUGUGUUUUCAGGCAGAUUAAGUCUGCCCUAGGCCUUCAGAAUCAAUCGAGAAGCCCGCUGUCCGCUGUGAGUGAACAGAGACAAUCUAGUUGCGAUAGCCAAUCAGCUCACGAGUCAGCUUGGCCCGGGCCAGCUAGCUGGCCUCACGCAAAAGUUGACAUGAACGCAUCCUGUGAUUGGAUAAGCAGUAGUUAGAACUUUUCUAGCGGCAUGAAGCAAAAUAUCAAAACUAAACACAGAGAUUUGUAUCUAUAGGCAGCUAUCGGUGUAUUUUUGAACACAUGAUGGCUGAAAGAGGAGAAGGGACAGACUUGGUUGCAGAUU